rnacentral:pre_miRNA from 1 species
UAUUUAUGAUGAAUAUGAUGAUGAGCAUGUUGAAUUGCCUUUUUUUGCGGGGGUAAAAAAACUAGGCAAUUCGACAUGCUCAUCAUCAUAUUCAUCA